UGUAGGUACAGACCGUCCUCGCCGGAUGCGAUUCGGGGGCACGGCCUCGUUUUUGAGCACAAAUUGUAUUUAAAUAGCAGAAACGAGCACAAAUGCCCUGGCUGUUGGCAUAUUUGGGCACGCUGAUUCCUAGCGCUGUUACGUGGCCCAAGCUGCUACUUCCCAAUCCAAAGGUGUUGGUAAUUUGAAUCCAGGUACUACCCAGGCCGGUGGUUUUACAAAUCCGAGAAAAGGAAGUUUCUGUUUGACGGCUGUUACAUGCAUUGCUGCAUAAAACGGCAGUGGCUCCCUGUUUUGCUUGUUAAUAGGCUGACAGUCAUCCUCCCUUUUACAUUUCAGUAGUGUCUGACCCUAAGUUAAUGUUUUGUCGUGGACACUUCAUGCACAAAACCUUGACAUCAUUCCUGUCUCCUCACAGCUAGGUCACACAGCUUGAAUGCUAAACUCUUCCCACGUUUCACUUGUAACACGGUGAGGGAGUCAGUGGCUUGAUUAACCAUAGGCAAGGUCACUAAGGUCCCAACAUCUCCUGGUUCUUCUGGGUUUCGUGCCCAAGACCAGAAAUGACUCCAAGAGCGAUCUGCCUAUGAAGUCAAUGCAGCUGCAUCUAGAGUGCCCAGUCCAGGGAUGCUGGGGUUUGUAACACGAUUGUGCUCGCUUCCACUCCCACAGAGGCAGGUUCCCACUGCUUGUAUCAGUACUACAGAAGUUUAAGAAAGAAAAUUUAAUUUGAAUAUAUUUUAAAGAACGUUUCAAAGGUGGACAUAGAAGCACAGAGAUGGCAGAGGACUGGACCUGAAUUUAGGUGACCAUUCAGUACUAGGUCAGGCCUCAGAGCCCAGGUCUCUGGUCUCCCAGUCCAGCACUUUCCCCUCACUGCCCAUGACUGUACACAGAUCUGAACACAGGCUUACCCACCUCGUUGUGUGUCGAGGGAAUGUUGGGAUGUGCCUAGUGCUCUACAUCAUUAGCAACAAGUAAAGAACUUUUGUCAUUGCUGCAGGCAGUAUCAUCUGUGCUGCUUUUUUUGGGUCUCCAUUAAAGAUAUUUUCUCAUUAUUAUAAAUGGAGAUUAUUAAUUGUUUCAGUAACCAUCCAGUGGCCAAGUCACAGUUCUCCAGGGUAUCUCAGGAAAACUAGUUUGAGGAUCUGACAUCUAGCCCAGUUCUCGGCACAUUAACUUUGGGUAAGCUGUACACCCCAGGAACACUCAAAGAAUUAUUUGAGAUCAUUGGACCCAACCAUUAACAAUACAUUCACACUUUUGCAGGGGCAUAGAGGAAAAAACUGAUUCAUCAGCAGUUCUGCUGGAUGUUCCUCUGUCUUCCCAGAGAAGUGUCAGUUUUAUUGCCUGUUGUAACCAGUAUCAGGAUGUGCUGUUUGCUGCAGUGGAAAUGAUGUCUUUCCAAAGAGAGUCAUGGGUUUUCACCCCACAAAAUUCUGCCUCCCUUUGGACCAAGGAAAUGCCCUGCCUUUGUCUGUGGGGUUGCCCACAGAGGAGGGACAUAUGGGGGAAUGUGGGGCAGCUUGACAUGUGCUACUGGAGCUCAGGUGUGUGUGCUGGAACUGCGCUGAGUACAUUACAGUGCCCCAAGCACCCUGGGGAUGUUACCAAACCAGGGGGGAAACCUGCAUACUCCUGACCCUGCAGGUUGUGAAAUCACCUUGGUACUGAGCAUCAUUGCUCUGGCACUCCAAAAAUUGCUGUCACAAUGCAUUCUGUGGGAAUGUGGUUGUCAGGAGUGGAACAGCUGGAGGCCUCCCACAGCACUCGGUGAAGACCAAAGCCCAGUGAGCUCUCUGUUGUAGGGGAAGGGGAAAGCUGGCAGCACGUGCUGCACAGCGAGCACUGAGCAUUAACCUGCUCUGCAUUUCUUUUGGAGCAAAAUGGAAGGGUAGGAUUUCUAUCACAUAUGUGUGCCACUCUGCUACAGCUCUGAAUGGCGCUUUACAAAAUAGAUAAUGAUGUCUCAUUGCUCCAGAGAGUUUCCAAACUAAAUUAAGAAAGAAUGAUGGGAAGAGAUGACCGUACAAUGAGGUGCAGAUGCUGGGAAUAGGGAUAAUGAGGGGGGAACAAUAUGAUUAUGUCCUUUCAAAGCAAAUGCCUCAGGGUAGCUACUUUUGGGGACAGAGUAUAAAAGGGGCAUGGGGAAGAUGUGACGCAAAGGCAGCAUCAGCACAGGGUUCAAGUCGGCCCUCAAGAGCAGAUUUGUCUGCUGGGGAGCAUUUGUUGACUCUCAAAUCCCUGCAAAAAGACUGCCUUGACCCACGCUCAGAUGCUGUCAAGGCCAAACAGGUCAUGUGGAUUAGCAUAAGGCCAUGGUGUCAUUCCCAGGGCCUGCAGGGCCUUGGUGGAUUCAAGCAACCCAGAGCCCAGGUUUAGGAUGACAUGAGCAUCCAGAAAUGAGCAUAUCUUUAUGCAUCUGCUCAAAUCUUGUUAUGAGGGGAAGUUUGAAAACUAAUGUGAGAGGAAGAAGUUGACAUGGUUUUAUUUAAAAUAACUUCUUUCUCCUAUCUCUCCAACAGUGGUCCAAUGACAGAAAAAACUGAGAGAAGUGAGAGAGGAGAGGAUUCCUGAUGAGUAACUUCAGAUGAGUGAAGAGGGCCUAGGGGAAAGGAAAGGUGUCAGGAGCAGCUGGGAUGGCUGUGGGAGAAAAAUGAAGCAGAAGGAGGCAUCCUCCUUAUUUCCAGCCUGGGUUCCAUUCCACUCCACAGUAGGAGUAUUAUACACAGGUAUCACUCUUUUCUCUCAUAUGUGCUAUGCUUCUCCCAGAAGGAUGACAAUUUUCUUAUACUAAAAAGGGCUUUCUAGAAGCAAUCUUGGGAAAUUGAAAGCUGGUCUCAGUGCAGAUAGUAGUUUAUAAUUAAUUAGUGAAACUUUACUUGCCUAUUUUCCUCUCCUCAGCCUCACCUUCUUUUGGCUGGCACCAAGGGGUGGGACAUCAUGGGCACAAACAGCAUGAUGAGAGCUUAAGAGCCCCAAAACUAAGGUGACUUUUUAAACUGUGCAACCAGAGAAAGAAGAAAUGAAAUAGAGGAACAAAGCAGCAUCACAGCCUGUGUAUUCCCUCUCUACAGCAGUCCUUUGGGUUGUGAAGGAUGGGGCUGUAUCAAGAACAGCUGCUUUCUUAACCCAGCAUACAAACCAGGAAGCAAUGGCCACACAUUUUGCAAUCUGCAUCCACAGAUUUCAUUGCCAGAAUUCAAGAUGGCAGGUUUCUUACCUCCCUGAAACAGGCUACUGACAAAAUCCAUCAUGUUGGAAUUUUUUCUUCAGUGUGUGCAAGCCCCUAAUGCUCACCAAAUGGAAGGGAAGAGAGGGACAAGGGUGAGGAAGAGGCUGUGCACGCCCUUUGACGUUGCACUCCCCAGUGCCCUGACGUGCUGCCACCCGUGACAGGACACACACACUCCACACACUGGACUUGCUAAUGCAGAUCUUGGGAGAAAUCCCAGGAACUGAAAUACCUGUUUUGCAUCUGCUGAAAAGAAUCUUCCCUCCUGCUCCUGAAUGACAACAUCUCUUUGCAGUCUGUCCUGUAAAAUGCAAAUAUGUAAAAUGCUCCUCUCUGGCCUGUUCCUCCAAGUGGAUAGAGAGAUAUAUGAAAACAAUGUAAUACACCAAGAAAUACUUUGACAGCUGGCACCUGAUUCUUUCCCAAGUGCCCUGGUGGUCACUCUUCGGCAGCUCUUUGCUGAUUCAUGAGGACUGCUAAAAGAAAGCAUGUGUGACAUCUUUUACAGAGUGUAAUAAAAGGAGGAAAGUGCCCUGUGUGGCUGGAACUGCA